GACGAACGCUGGCGGCGUGCUUAACACAUGCAAGUCGAACGGUAAGGCCUUCGGGUACACGAGUGGCGAACGGGUGAGUAACACGUGGGUGAUCUGCCCCCUACUCUGGGAUAAGCCUGGGAAACUGGGUCUAAUACUGGAUAUGACCUCCUUCUGCAUGGUUGGUGGUGGAAAGUUUUUUCGGUAGGGGAUGAGCCCGCGGCCUAUCAGCUUGUUGGUGGGGUAAUGGCCUACCAAGGCGACGACGGGUAGCCGGCCUGAGCGGGCGACCGGCCACACUGGGACUGAGACACGGCCCAGACUCCUACGGGAGGCAGCAGUGGGGAAUAUUGCACAAUGGGCGAAAGCCUGAUGCAGCGACGCCGCGUGGGGGAUGACGGCCUUCGGGUUGUAAACCCCUUUCAGUCGGGACGAAGCGUGAGUGACGGUACCGAUAGAAGAAGCACCGGCCAACUACGUGCCAGCAGCCGCGGUAAAAC
rnacentral:rRNA from 1 species